rnacentral:rRNA from 1 species
GGUGAACGCUGGCGGCGUGCUUAAGACAUGCAAGUCGAACGGCAGUCUUCGGACUGUAGUGGCGCACGGGUGAGUAACGCGUAACUGACCUACCCCAGAGUCGCGGAUAACGAUUCGAAAGAAUCGCUAAUACGUGAUGUGCUGUCAGAUUGUGUUCUGCCAGUAAAGAUUGAUUGCUUUGGGAUGGGGUUGCGUUCCAUCAGCUAGCUGGUGGGGUAAAGGCCCACCAAGGCGACGACGGAUAGCCGGCCUGAGAGGGUGGCCGGCCACAGGGGCACUGAGACACGGGUCCCACUCCUACGGUAGGCAGCAGUUAGGAAUCUUCCACAAUGGGCGAAAGCCUGAUGGAGCGACGCCGCGUGAGGGAUGAAGGUCUUCAGAUCGUAAACCUCUGAAUCAGGGACGAAAGACACUUCGGUGGGAUGACGGUACCUGAGUAAUAGCACCGGCUAACUCCGUGCCAGCCGCCGCGGUAA